AACUGCUUUACAGUGAUACCCUGUUUUGUUAUACUGUACUUCGCCUUUGAUAUUUGGUUUAACUAUGGUUCAUUUUGUGUAGUUCAUCUGCUCGGUGAUCGUCACGUACUUGGUUUGCUGUACAUGCACAGAUUAAUGUGUCAACUUUGCCUACCCACUCUCAGACAUCACCACCCUCCACUGACUGGAAAGCCCCUCCAUAUUCAGGAGGAGACAAGCUGUCACAAUUCCUUGCUAGUCACAUGACAGAAAACUAAAAGAAACACCAACUGAAGUUUUAUAACUUGUUCUUCAGCCUGGAGAUUGCAGCCAACCUGCAUUCACCUGAAUCAUUCUGAUAGAAUACAAACCCUCAAAAUGAGAAACAGACUGGCGAGGACACUGGAAUUUCAAGGAAUUUCAAAGAUUAGGGUAUCAGUCCAUUAUGAAGCAAGGUUUUUAAUUUUCUAUGGCCUGUUUUAAAGGUGAGAGAGACAAAGAGAGAAUAGGGUUCUGUGUAUUACCACCAUUAUUAGUAUUAUACUAUAAUGUUUACAAGGCAUUUUUAUGUUAAGAAUGUUGUU